rnacentral:lncRNA from 1 species
CUCCAGAGUAGCUGGGUUACAGGCACGUGCCACCAUGCCCAGCUCAUUUUUUCGUACUUUUAGUAGAGACAGGGUUUCACCAUGUUGGCCAGGAUGGUCUCUAACUCCAGAACUUGUGAUCCACCCGCCUCGGCUUCCCAAAAUGCUGGGAUUACAGGCGUGAGCCACCAUGCCUGGCCAUCACGUCUUUAGUAUACCUACCAGUUCUUCAAAAAUUAAAAGUGCUGCUUCAUCCAAAUGAGUACACACAGGUAUACACACAUGUAGAACUGCAACGGGUUUUUGAGAUAAUACCCAUGCUACCUGAAAUGCACUCUGCUUUCUAUUUGACUUCACUUUUGUAAAAUGCUGGUCACUGCUUAUUGGAUUGAUUUUACACCCCCCUAUGGGGAUGUAAUCUGCACUUUGAUAAACAGUAGUCUAAAUCAGUGCUUUGCAAACUUUAGCACACACAAGGAUUACAGGAAAACCUUGUUAAAACAGGCUGUUGGGCCCCACCCUCAAUGAUUCUCAUUCCAUAGCUCAGGGUUGGGCCUGGAGAAUUUGCAUCCUAACAAGCUGCCCAGUGAUGUUGCUGCCAUCAGACUUCGGACUCUUGUUUGGAGAAGCACUGGUCUAAAUGACGCUUUCCUCUACAAUCAGAACUGUUGUUUUAAUGCCUUCACCACUUAUCAAGAGACCAGAGCCCCAGCUCUUUAAAAUUUUUCAAAUUUGAAGGUUUUAAAAUACACUAUAUUCCUCCUGAUGCAGUUCAAUGAUAUUUUGACCAAAGGCUUUGGGGGUGCAAAAUUAGUCUGAAUGUAUUGUUAAAGCACUUCACAUUGACAAAAUUAUUGUCCACAAACUCACACUGGAACAGGUAAGCUACUUCUGGGCUUUCAAUAAAAAUGCCUGACCAAUCAGUUUGUUGUUGUCUAGUUUGAAGUUUAGUUGGGGCAAGCCUCUUCCCUUUGUGUUCCCUUACUCUCCUUUGCAUUCCUCUUUCCUCUCUUGGUUUCUCUUUUAAAACUCUGCUGGAUCAGACCUUUGAUGUGUGGGACAGCAAAUUUGCAUAGUGACACCCAUUAGUCCUCUUGGUCGGGGACCACAGCCUCUCUACAGGGCUGUCCUGCAGCCAGCAGUAGCCCUACACAUUUUGCUAAGGUUUUGCCAUCCCACUUUUCCCCUUGUUAUAGGAUUUAAGAGAUGGUUAUGGCUUUGCUUUUUUUUUUUUUCAAGUAAGUGUUCAUACACUACCUCAUCUCUACCAAAAUAGGACUAUAUGUAUAAUUGCCUAUUUUUAAAUAGGCCUAUUUUCCUAUUAUUUUGCUUUUUAAAGAAACAAAUGGACCAUCUAAACAUUAAAAUGAAUCUUAAUACAUCCUACAUAUGUGUUAAUACAUCCUACAUACACUGUCCAAGAUCUUAGUGGUGAUUAGAAACUUACAUCUUAAAUUCAAAAUCUUAGUUUGUAGUAUUUAGGAGUCACAUUGUUGGGUAAUUGUUCAGAAAACAUCAAAAGUUUAUGUAAUGUCUUUAACAAAUUUUUAUCCUCCCUCCCCUGUACUUGUAUUAGUUUUUUAAUGAGAAGCAAAAGACAAGAGCCAAUCAUGACAGGAUUAAAAGUACAUGCCGUGAAGUGGUUGAGCUCAAGCUGGGGUUAGGCCCUGGCUUUGUCUGACACUGGCUGUGGGAUUUAGGGCAAGCCACUUAACCUGGCUAAACCUGUUCCUUCUGUAAAACAUGGAUGAUCAUAUAGCAAUACCAGUCUCACAGAGUGGCUAUGAUUCUCAAAAGAUUCAUUCUCUAUUUGAGAGUACUUUCAAAUGUGUUAAUAGAGAAACAAAUUUUAAUCUCAAUGUUAUUAUCCCUAGCAGAUUGUAAUAAUUUCCAUAUCAUCUCUAGCAUGUUGUGACAUUGUACAGUUUAAUAUAUACUAAUACUCAAUGAAAUUGAUUUUACCAUUUUGUGAAAUUUUAAUACAUUAUUGAUGCAUAAGGAUGUAUUGGUAAUAAUUCGUUAGUAGUAGUUUACUAAUAAGUAUUUACAUCACUGCUAUAAUAAUGAUGAUAGUAUGAUAUGUCAUGACACAUCUAUAUCUUUCCACCAUGGGAUGGAUGGAUGUGUGUGUGUGUGUGUGUGUGUGUGUGUGUGUGUGUACAUAUACUCAUAGAUAGCUAGAUAGAUGAAAUUUGAAAGGAAAUUAUCAUUAAGAUAUCAGAGACUACCUAUUUGAAAUCUCCAAUAUUUAAACUCUUAAACAUUUUUUUUCUUUUGAUUCCACAGGGUAGUUAACACUUUGACUAAAGAGUCUUUGGGUCCUAAAUAGACUUAAAUGUGUCACAAAAGUAUUUCAUGUUAAUUAAUCAAUGACUGGAGCCCUAUGGCUAUGUUUAACAUAGAUUCCAGAAUCAUUUUCCUUUCUAAAAACAGCUUGAGAUAUAAUGUCAGCACCUGCUAAUAAAAAUAAUUUUUGCUUGCCAAAAUGGUAUGUAGUAUUACUAAGAGCUUAAAUAUUUAUAUUGUGUUCUAUUCUCAAUUAAUUCACUUGGGCUUUCAAACGUUGUUUUUUUUUUUAUCUGUAAGAGCCCUAAUUUAAAAACCCUUAAUACCAACCAACCACAACCCAUGAUGCUUUUACUCCAUUAUAAAGGAAACUCUCAGAUUCCAUACAUAGUGUUUUGAAAGGAAUCCAAGAUCUUUACUGGGGACAUACUGUUGAAAAGACAUAAAAUUUAGUGGAAAAAUGUAUCAUGGGGUCGGUACCAAGGGGAUUUUCCCAGCCUACGGAAGUGAAGACUAGCUUGGAGAAAAAAUAGCCCUCUGCUACAUAAUGCAUGUGGUCCCUCCUCCAGUGCAGAUGCACCCUCCAAACUGCCUCCUGUCACUUGCUUAAAUCAUGAAUACUGUACGUGAAUGACUGUUGUACAUGAAUGAUUAAAACGUAUUAUAAGACAUUUUCCCUUACCACUUCCUCCCUCAAAGUUAGUCAAAAGCCCCCGUAAAGGCAAGCCCUACAUUUUAGGACUAGAUUGUUUAAGCCUCCCAAGUACAGGAACUCUAUUUCUGCUUUAUUUUUAACUCUCCAGAGUGCCUGCUUAUAGAGAGCUCAAGGACAAUCUAUAUGCAAGAGACUUUGAGUAACAGCUAUGGCUCGCUAAGGACAGGCAGCAGUGAUUAAUGCAUGUCCGGAAUUACUACCAACUUAACAGACUGUCGUCACCACAUUAAGUUUGUGUGUGAAGUUGGCUGCCUUCUACACUGUUCAGCCAGGGCAAGUUUGUGCAUUAGGGGGCCAAUUCCCUUUGAGUUGCUAUUGAAUGAUCUACGCCCCCAAGUUAGGCCAGGUUGGAAAGGGUAAGGUCAUAGUUGCAGAACUGCCUUUCUUCCACCAUGAGAAGAUAGAGCAACAAGAGCUCCUGGUCAAUUUACCCCACCCUCUGUUUCCCAGAAGUUAGCUGGGCUCUGGCUGAACUCUAGGGAUACAAGUCUAAACUGGGUAGGUUUUGGAACAUAGCCCUGAGCUGGGUCAUACCUGGUGCAGGGAAACAUCGGAAUAACUUAGGACCCCCAAUGGAGAUAUUUUCAUUCUUUAAACAGAGUAGCUGAGCAUCUGGGGAUGUAAAGUUAAACCAACUAAACACCAUAUAGCUUCAAAAACCUUAUAGCUUCUAAUCAAGGGACUUAGAUAGAAAUGAAGAGAUGGUCAGAGUACCAUGUGGUAAAGGCAUACUGGAGCUGACUGAAGGGAUGGGGAUUGGUGAAGGACAAAGAUGUAGUCUGAGAAGGGACGCUGGGCUGAGUCUUGAGAGACUUCUGGCUUCAGCACCCAUAGGCAUUCCAGGCUGAGGGAGCAUGAAGCAAGGGAGAGCUUUGAGCAGCUGAAGAACUUCAAGCAGUUAAUUAUAGCUGGAAUGAAGAGUAACAGGUGAGAGGGUGAGAGAAUAGGCUGGAAAGCUGCAUGUAACCGGCCUGGUGUGCUGAGCUAAGAAGUUGGAAUUCAUCCAGAAAGCAAAAGGGAACCACUUUCCCAAACAGGGAAGUAGCAGGAUCGCAUUUACAGUAUGGAAAGACAACUCCAGCAGUAUUUUGGAGAAUGGAUUGAUGGGAGGGAGGAACGCACAGUGAAGUGGAAGACUAGUCCAGAGGCUAACGUAGUCAUCCAGGCAAGAAGUGAAGAGAACCUGAAUUAGAGUGGUGGUAGGGCAGAUUCUAAAACUCUUGAGAGAGCAGCCACCGCAGGUCUUGGAGGCCAAUUGGAUGUCCUACGUGACCAAGAAGGAAGAGUCAAGGAUGACAGAGUCAAGAUGACCAGGGACAGAUAGUCCCUGGUCCUAGCACUAAGUAGGACUAUGGGGGAAAGAGCACAUUUGAGGAGAGGGAGCUGAAUUCAGCUUUACGUAGGCAGAACAAAACCAGCCUUGUAGUUAUGGCAAGGCAUGGGGUUAGGUUCUGUUGGCUUUAGGCCUCCAGCUGUAUGUUGAAUUUGCACAGGGGUAUGCACAGGUUACCCUAGUCUGGUCCCUCAGCGCACCGGAUUUCACUUUGCUCAGUGUUUCUUGGUGUGGGAAUCACGUCUCCAGCUCUCUCUGUAUGUGUUCACCCUGUGCCUGCUCAGUGCUGUUCUGGGGAUGGACACCCUGAGCACAGGGGUCAACAAAGGAGUGGAGUUAGUGCUCAGUUCAGUUGGAAGGUGACCAAAUAUGAAUGCUGGGUGUGGCAAAUUAAUUUUCAUUGUUAUCACUCCAUGAGCGAGGGAAAUGCAGCCCUUGUUAUUUUCCAACAUAGUCUCCAGUAGAAACAGUUGUUUGUGACACUGAAUUAGUUUGUUAAAAAAUUCAUACCUGAAAAAUUGCAUCAUAUAUUACUUUAAAAGUAAUGACUGUAGUAGGCAGAAAAGUGCUGCCUCUGCCCACCCAAAAAUGUCCAUGUCCUCAUCCCUGGAACCUCUGAAUAUGUUACCUUACUGAAGCAAGAGAGACGUUGUAGUUGUCAAUAAAUUCAGAAUCUUGAGAUAGGGAGCUAGACCUGGGUGGUCUCUGUGGUCCCAGGGUGCUUACAAGAUUCCUUAAAAGUAAAAGGGGCAGGCAGGGUCAGAGUGGUUCAAAGAAACGCUCAAGGCUAUUGUUGGUUUUGAAGCCUGAAGAGGGCCACCAGCCAAGGGAUGCAGGUGGCCUCUAGAAGCUGGAAAAGACAAGGAGAUGGAUUCUCCCCGAGACUCCAAGAAGAACACAGCCCUCCUGACACCUCAAUUUUAGGAAUAUUACAGCAAAUGAGUCUUCUUUGGUGGUCCAGCCACACCAGCCCUUAUACUUCACAGCGUGAGUGCCAGGAAGUCAGAGCACAGAUGGGAGGUGGGGCAUGGAAGCAGUGUUUGUCUUGGAUGAUAAAGAGAUAUAAACAUGAAGGCCAGGUGCGGCGGCUUACACCCGUAAUCCCAGCACUUUGGGAAGAGUGAAGUGGAGGAAGAGGUACAUUCAACUACAGAGGAGGAAACUGAGGCCCAGAGGGGAAAAGUGACUUGAUUGACAAAAAUUGGAUUCUGGUCUUUGUUCUGCCAAAGCCACUAAAUCUGUGUUGCUGAGUCUGCUGUUUGCAUGCAGGAAUGUGAAGGACUGCUCAAGUUGGAGAUACAAAUUGAAGCCAGCCCCAGUUCAAAACUGUUACAAAUGGAGUCUGUAGGCAUGAGGGGCUGACUAUAUAACUCAGAGUUCUCCAGUACUUUACUUUAAUAAAGAACACAAUCUUUAUUAAAGGAUAAGUAAUAAAAAUGUGUUGAUGUGCAACUUAUGGAUCUAUUAUUAAAACUCAACAGUCAUUGCAGCAAUGUUUAGAACUUAAGCAAACAAAAGUUUUGUGAGGGGGCAAUUUUAUCAAUGACAUUGUUUAGAAAUGUUGGUAGAUGGUGAUCAUAAAAAGCAGAUCAAUGUUUUAUUUCACUUGGGUUUUUAAAAAUUAUUUUUAAAAAAUU